AAGGCUCAACUUGGGCUUGCAGUGGGUACGGGCAGACUAGAGUGCGGUAGGGGUGACUGGAAUUCCUGGUGUAGCGGUGGAAUGCGCAGAUAUCAGGAGGAACACCGAUGGCGAAGGCAGGUCACUGGGCCGCAACUGACGCUGAGGAGCGAAAGCAUGGGGAGCGAACAGGAUUAGAUACCCUGGUAGUCCAUGCCGUAAACGUUGGGCACUAGGUGUGGGGCUCAUUCCACGAGUUCCGUGCCGCAGCAAACGCAUUAAGUGCCCCGCCUGGGGAGUACGGCCGCAAGGCUAAAACUCAAAGAAAUUGACGGGGGCCCGCACAAGCGGCGGAGCAUGCGGAUUAAUUCGAUGCAACGCGAAGAACCUUACCAAGGCUUGACAUACACCGGAAAAGUGCAGAGAUGUGCUCCCCGCAAGGUCGGUGUACAGGUGGUGCAUGGUUGUCGUCAGCUCGUGUCGUGAGAUGUUGGGUUAAGUCCCGCAACGAGCGCAACCCUCGUCCCAUGUUGCCAGCGGGUAGUGCCGGGGACUCAUGGGAGACUGCCGGGGUCAACUCGGAGGAAGGUGGGGAUGACGUCAAAUCAUCAUGCCCCUUAUGUCUUGGGCUUCACGCAUGCUACAAUGGCCGGUACAAAGGGCUGCGAUGCCGCGAGGUGGAGCGAAUCCCAAAAAGCCGGUCUCAGUUCGGAUUGGGGUAUGCAACUCGACCCUAUGAAGUGGG
rnacentral:rRNA from 1 species